CAACCCUUAAGCCUAGCUUAGUGUUGGGAGCCUACCCGCCUUAGGGCCCGUAGCUCCUGAAAUACAACGGCGGAUCUGUGGCAUCCUCUGAGCGUAGUAAUUUUUUUCUCGCUUUUGUCAGGAGUUGCAGCGUCUGGCCGCUAAACCCCCCAAAUUUUAAUGG
rnacentral:misc_RNA from 1 species